rnacentral:rRNA from 1 species
CGGCCGUAUGGGGAAUGCCUAGGCUCUCAGAGGCGAUGAAGGACGUGGUAAGCUGCGAUAAGCUGCGGGGAUUGGUUAACACAAAUUGAUCCGCAGAUUUCCGAAUGGGGCAACCCACUUUAGUGAAGCUAAAGUAUCUUUAAUUAUAAUAAAGAAGCAAACCCAGAGAACUGAAACAUCUAAGUAUCUGGAGGAAGAGAAAACAAUAGUGAUUUCGUAAGUAGCGGCGAGCGAACGCGAAAGAGCCCAAACCAUAGCCGUUUCGGCGGUUAUGGGGUUGUAGGACUGGCAUAAUUCACCUAUAAGAGAACUCAAAUUACUCUGCAGAAAGGUAAGCCAUAGAAGGUGAUAGCCCUGUCGAGGUAAUCUGAUAGGUGAAAGUCAGUAUCCUGAGUAGGUUGGAACAGGAGAAAUUCCGACUGAAUCUGCCAGCACCAUCUGGUAAGGCUAAAUACUACUGAGAGACCGAUAGUGAACUAGUACCGUAAGGGAAAGGUGAAAAGAACCCUGAAUAAGGGAGUUAAAAGACCUGAAACCAUACGCUUGCAAGCGGUCGGAGUACUAUUUUAUAUAGUAUGACGGCGUGCCUUUUGCAUAAUGAGCCUACGAGUUAGUCUUUGUUGGCAAGGUUAAUCCUUUUGAAAGGAGUAGCCGAAGCGAAAGCGAGUCUUAAUAGGGCGAAUUAGUCAGCAGAGCUAGACGCGAAACUUGGUGAUCUACCCAUGGCCAGGGUGAAGCUUUGGUAAAGCAAAGUGGAGGCCCGAACCAGUAGCAGUUGAAAAUGCUUUGGAUGAGCUGUGGGUAGGGGUGAAAGGCCAAUCAAACCAAGAGAUAGCUCGUACACUCCGAAAUGCUUUUAGGAGCAGCGUUAGUUAAUAGACUAAUAGAGGUAGAGCUACCGAUAGGAGUGGGGGGAGUCAAAUCCUACCCUCUCCAGACGAACUCCGAAUGCUAUUAGUUGUUUGCUAGCAGUGAGGGCUAGGGUGCUAAGGUCCUAGUCCGAGAGGGAAACAACCCAGACCAUCUGCUAAGGUCCCCAAAUAUAGACUAAGUUGAACUAAGGAGGUUCAGCUACUUAGACAGCCAGGAUGUUGGCUUGGAAGCAGCCAUUCAUUUAAAGAGUGCGUAACAGCUCACUGGUCAAGUGGCAGAGCGCCGAUGAUAAACGGGCAUUAAGUCUAUUACCGAAGCAAUGGCUUAGCUACUUUGUAGCUAGGGGUAGGAGUGCAUUCUAAUAGAGUCGAAGCUAUGUGGUGACGCAUAGUGCAUUUAUUAGAAAAGAAAAUGUAGGCAUAAGUAACGAUAAUGACGGCGAGAAACCGUCACACCGAAAGACUAAGGUUUCCACGGCCAUGCUAGUCAUCCGUGGGUUAGUCGGGACCUAAGUUGAAGCCAAAUGGCGUAGACGAUGGAAAAUCGGUUAAUAUUCCGAUACUAACUUGUUAUAGAGAAGGGGGGACAGAGCAGUGAAAGGUCUGCCUGGUGACGAAUUACCAGGUUGAAGCCAGUAGGUAUAGGUUUGAGUAGCAAAUCUCUCAAGCCUGCCGAAGGUGAUAGUACUACAAUCUUUCGGGAGCGUAGAUAAUGACCCUAACCAUACUCUCAAGAAAAGCCUCUAAUCGUUUAAAUAGCAAGCUACUCGUACCGCAAACCGACACAGGUAGUCGAGGAGAGAAUCCUAAGGUGUUCGAGUGAGUCGUGGCUAAGGAACUAGGCAAAAUAGCCCUGUAACUUCGGGAGAAAGGGUGCCUCGCUAGGUACUUUCGGGUACUUAGCAGGUCGCAGUGAAAAGAUCCAGGCGACUGUUUAACAAAAACACAUGGCUUUGCAAAAUCGAAAGAUAAAGUAUAAGGCCUGAUACCUGCCCGGUGCUGGAAGGUUAAUUGGAGGUGUUAUACCCUUGGGUAGAAGCACUAAAAAGAAGCCCCAGUAAACGGCGGCUGUAACUAUAACGGUCCUAAGGUAGCGAAAUUCCUUGUCGGGUAAGUUCCGACCUGCACGAAUGGUGUAACGAUCUGGGCACUGUCUCGGCCACGAGCUCGGUGAAAUUGUAGUAGCGGUGAAGAUGCCGCUUACCCGCAACGGGACGAAAAGACCCCGUGCACCUUUACUAUAGCUUCGCAUUGGUAUUUAGUAAAUAAUGUGUAGGAUAGGUGGAAGACUAUGAAGUCGUGUCGCUAGGCAUGGUGGAGUCAACCUUGAAAUACCACCCUUUAUUUAUUGGAUAUCUAACUCCCAAAAGGGAGGACCCUGCGUGGUGGGUAGUUUGACUGGGGAGGUCGCCUCCAAAAAAGUAACGGAGGCUUUCAAAGGUAUCCUCAACACGAUUGGUAACCGUGUGUAGAGUGCAAUAGCAUAAGGAUGCUUGACUGUGAGACCUACAAGUCGAGCAGCAUCGAAAGAUGGAUAUAGUGAUCCGGUGGUUUCCGCAUGGAAGGGCCAUCGCUCAAAGGAUAAAAGGUACGCCGGGGAUAACAGGCUUAUCUCCCCCAAGAGCUCAAAUCGACGGGGAGGUUUGGCACCUCGAUGUCGGCUCGUCACAUCCUGGAGCUGGAGAAGGUUCCAAGGGUUGGGCUGUUCGCCCAUUAAAGUGGCACGCGAGCUGGGUUCAGAACGUCGUGAGACAGUUCGGUCUCUAUCUGUUGUGGGCGUUAGAAACUUGAGAAGACUUAAUCCUAGUACGAGAGGACCGGAUUGAAUCAACCUCUAGUGUACCAGUUGUGACGUCAGUUGCACCGCUGGGUAGCUACGUUGGUAAGAGAUAAGCACUGAAAGCAUAUAAGUGCGAAGCUCGCUUCAAGAUGAGGUUUCU